AGCUGAAUUGAGUAUAUCAGCACCACCAGAUUCCGAAUUUGCGUCAAAGAGCUGUUUUUUCAGCGGUUUGACCCCGUGAAUGUGUCUUAUGCGGUGUUAGCAGACAUCUGUCCCGAUAACUGGAGGUACUUCC